CAAACUGUUCCUUUGUAGUCUGUGAUAAUGGUUAGCAACUUAUGCUCAUGAAAGGCAGUUAGUUCUAUGCAUUGUGUCGAGUCUACUUGUGCAGAGUGGUGGUCAUCAUCAUACUAAGGAAGAUUAUACUGUGAGAGGCAAAGAACCAAAGGAUGAAGUUCAAAUCUACACUUGGAAAGAUGCCAAUCUUCGUGAGUUAACAGAUUUGGUCAAAGAAGUUUCUGUAGCGGCUAGGAGAAGAGACGCAAUAUUAUCUUUUGCGUUCGUUUAUCCAGACAAGAAUGGACGCUUUAUUCUCAGACAGGUAAAGGUUGGUCAGACGAUGUCUUAUCCUAACCGAAAACAACCAGACGACAGUAAAACACUCGCUGACCUUCAUUUUGAGAUUGGAGAUUAUCUGGAUGUAGCAAUCUACUAGGAGGAGGUUUCUGUUUCUCGUCAAGUGAGGACAAGGGAAAAAAACACAUUUUUGGUUGUUCCCAUUUCAAAACUUCAUUCAGACAACAUUUUAUGUCUAAUAUGUGGUGUAAUGAUUUUACUCAGUUUAAACGAGAUUUGACCAAUUUAAA